ACAGUGUGACCAUUGGCUCCAUGCUCCUACUUCAGUGACUUCUCGGUUGUGGUGGACUGUAUCCUGGAACUGCUUUGUCUUCGCCCUCCCUCUGCAUCCCCUCCCCUUUGUUCUUUUGGGGAUCGAAACAAGAGUCUCAUGAAGCCAGGUGGAUGGAAUUCCAUUGCAUACGUGUGCCAAUGUUCCAGUAUCAAGCCAUCAAUUGAAAGACAUAGAUCUCCUAACUUUUGUGACAAGAGCAUCACUGAACAUGGCUGAGCAAGUAUCUGUGGAUUAGGAUGUCAAGUCCUUAGGGUGUAUACCAAAGAGUGGUACAGCUGAGCCAUGUGGCAGAUCUGCUUUUAGCUUUUUGAGAAUUCUCCACAUGGAUUACCUUUUCUAUCUAAAGCCUUUGGUCCUUUCUUGAUUUAUAUCCCUUUCAUUUUUUUUUCUCUCCUCUUGGACCUUACUGUUUCCUGGAUAUUGGUCUUGCCCCUCUAUAUUUCUUAGUGAACUCUUUUCUGUUUUUAGACCUUUACCACUUUUUGUAGCUUCUGGGAAAGUUCUCAUUCCCCACUUUACUGUCUUGUUCUUCAGCACUCUUCCUCUGUGUCUAUCGAGUUCUCACAUCUUGAAAAUCCGUUUUCAUUCUGCGAGCAGGUAACUAACCUCAGCUCAUUUGUUACCUUUGUUUUACCAUUGAAGUUUUCAGCUGUUUGUUGUUUUGCCCUUUGCAUUCACGUGCUCUGGGAUUACCUGUUCAUAUGCUCAUGAACACCCAAAUCUGUCUUUCUGGCUGUGUUCAAAGACUGGAGAGAGGAUACUGGAUAGUCUGGGCACAUCUACUGGUCCCUUUCAGGCUUGGUUUCCCUUUGAGCAUAGGGUAGAGGAGUGUGGCAACAGAGAGACUUCCUUUGCCUUGACUUAAUUAUCUUUCUGUUGUGAUAAAACACCAUGACCAAGGCAACUUAAAAAAGAAAGCCUUUAAUUGGCAUAUGGUUUCAGAGGGCCAGAGUCCAUGCUCAUGAUGGCAGGGAACAUGUCAGCAUGCAGGGAGGCAUGGCACUGGAUCAGGAACUGAGAGUUUACAUCUUGAUCCACAAGCACAAGACAGCUAACUGGAAAUGGGGUGGGCUUUAGAAACCACAAAGCCUAACCCCCAGUGGCACACCUCCUCCAACAAAGCUACAUGGCCUAACCCUUCCCAAACAGUUCUACCAACUGGGGACAGAGCAUUCAAAUAUUUGAACUUGGGGGAGGGCAUUCUUAUUCAAGCCAGCACAAUCUCUCAGGGUUUGAAAGAGUAGUUUUGUGACACUGAUAAUGAACUCUUUUCAGGGAGAACUUUUCCCAGCAGGACUUCACUGUUGCCCUGAUUCUGUCCUUAGGGUACCAAGUCAAAGAUGAAAGGCAAAUGAUGAUUGUUCCAAGGCAACCUAAAAGAGGGGCAAGUCCAGAACUAAGGGAGCUUUCUCAGCUCCCUUCCUAUUCCCACGGUGGCAGCCUAAACCAUUGAACUCUAUGCAGUAGGACGGGAUGCAGGCAUCUCAGGGAUGUUUUUCACUAUGGUAAUGGUCAGAAUGAUUAAUAGGAUCCUUCUUUUCCUACAGUUGCUCCACAUUCACAUUUGGGGGUAGCAGUCUGCUAAGAGGCUAGUCUGUCAUCUUGGCCCCAAACAGCAGAUACCUUACUGUCCUGCACCUAUGCUAUGAUUGCAAGGUCAGUACAGAGCAGUAGUUUCUAUAAUCAUCAGCAAGUAAAACUGUGUCCAUUAUUUAGUGUGCUUAUCCACAAGGUGUAUAACUAUUAUACACAUUUCUAAUUUAAUAGAAAAAAGAGUGCAUCUCAUGGUUGAUUUGCGUACAUUUGUUCUCUAUUGAGAUUGAAGUGUUUUCUCGUGUUUAUUGAGUGAAUUGCUUCCCUUCUCAGGAGAAUUAUCUAUUUGUGGCACAUGCUCAUUAGCUAUUUUAGGAUUAGAGUUUUUUCCUCACUUAUUCAGUCUUGUGCAAUUUAUUUUGAUUUACAGUUUGUUCAUUUUGAUUGGCACUGAGCAUUUCUCAUAAAGCAUGCUGUAAAGGGUCUCUACUGCAAGAUGAUAUGGUGAAGCCUCAUGAGAGGUCUCCUCCAAAUCUCUGUAAGAAAAAAAAAUCAAGUUUUUGUUACUAUUUUUGUGCAUCUGAAUCUGUCAAUACACUAUUAUUUUGCCUAUUGUUUCUAAGCUUAUUAUUUUUAAAAGUAUUUUUUCACUGCCUUUGAGCUGUUAAAUUAUAUCUUAGGCUGAUGUUUAGGCUUUGGUAUUUUGUUAGUCAAUCUUUUAAUCCAUCUGAGAUGGAUUUCGGAGGGAUGAGGGAGAAAGUUUAAAAAUGCAAAAAUCACAAAUUGACUUUCAAAACAGACUCUUUAUACCUUUUAUCCAACAAAAUUAUUACUAGAGUGGAUGACAGAAGACCAUGAAUCCGGGCAUUGCAAGGAAGAUAAAUACUCUGUUGUCAAGAACGGAUUGCUCAAACGAGAAUAAUGGCAAAAAGGAAGCUCAUAAAAUGUCCCUAUCUUGAAGCUGUUUGGGUUUUAUCUUGCUUGUCUGAAAGCUUGAUUGUUGGGGAAAGAGAAGCAAACGGAAAUGGAAAAGGGUACUUUAUUCUUUAACUCUAUAUCUUAUUGCAAAAUUGCCUCUGAAUACAAGAGAUGUCUUGAAUUGCCACAGCUGAGGCAGCCUCGAAUGGACCACAAAGAGUUUUGAGGUGAACUGAACCACGACUGUGAGUCUUUGCUGAGCUGAUAAUUCUUUCAUUUCCCGAAUAAAGUCAGUAUCUGUGAUUCGCUUCACCCUUUUUUGGCAGUUUUCCUUUGAGUCAAAUAUUAAUGGGUAGUGCCUAUUGUUUGCAGACCACACUUAACUCCAUUCACCUUCCGGUGACCUGCCAGGCAUUCCAGAUACUCCUCCGGCUUCUCGGCAGUCUUUGGAAAACAAGGGGCAAAAUCGUGUGAAUCCCUUUCUGCUAAUUUUCUGGAAAACUAAGGUGCUCAAAGGACCAAAAUGUUCCCAGCACCCCUGCUGCGUGCUUUCUCCCGAUGGAAAUCAUUGGCUUUAUUGAAUGAUACAGCUCUCGCCUUCACCCUGUGGAAGGUAUUUAUCAAACCGCUUUCCAACUUCACACCUGGGUAACUCUCCCAUGAGCCUCUUGCACAUUAAUUGUCAAAUAAUUUCCUUCUGCCUCAACAUUUCAUUUGUAAUGACACGCUGCUCCUGGUCAUUAAAGGAUUAGACUACUGACAACUUAUUAGUAUAAAUAUUUGAGGAUCAUGGAUAAAUUCCCUAGUUGCAAAGGAGAGGUUGGAGAAGAAACAAAAAAAUGGAAUUUGAACUUGUCGACAGGAAGGGCGAGAGAGGUUGCAAGUGUCUGAGUAUUACUGUCGGGUCUUCAUUUUAAAUGUAUGCUUGUUGUUAGUGCUGUUCUUAGCAACUGCUAUUUCUUCUUCUGUCUCUCCUCUUCUCCUUCCCACAGCCCUAACUAACCUAUGUAGGAAUUCUCUCAAUAAAUGAGUGAGUUAAAGGCAUCAUUUCAAAUUCUAUAUCUACUCCACAAUUAGCUCAGAAUGCAUAGCCAUGGAGAAUCAGCACAUGAUUACAACUAAUUGGAGGGAAGUACAUUAAAUCAUCAAACAGAUCCAUGCCUCACUUGAAGAGGUAAUGUGAUAGUAUUUUACAACUUUAAAAUCCAAUGCUGUGAGAAGGCAAUUAAGAACAGCUCAGUGGUGCUUGGGCUUCCUUUGGCCUGCUUGCUUACUUUAUUAGAAACAGUUGAUUAAUAUUCUUGUUAGACAUUUCCAAUUCAGAUUAAAAGGAGAAAACAACGUACUUUUCCUCUUUCAAGUUCUUUUGACUGUGCCUGGAAACCUAGUUUCUACUUUCCUUCCUACUAAGUGUUAGAACACCUUUCUUUGGUGGAUUUUACCCAAGCAGAAUGCAAUUCAAUGAUAGGCUCCUGAUAUGAAGUUCUCUAAUAAUGUUAGCUAUCCUGAACUUACUUCUUUCAUCUUCCUGGGGCAUAGACUUGAUGUGGGCACACUGCCAAGCAAGUGAGAUCAGAAGGACAAUAAAGG